rnacentral:rRNA from 1 species
AUUGAACGCUGGCGGCAGGCCUAACACAUGCAAGUCGAGCGGAUGAAGGGAGCUUGCUCCUGGAUUCAGCGGCGGACGGGUGAGUAAUGCCUAGGAAUCUGCCUGGUAGUGGGGGAUAACGUCCGGAAACGGGCGCUAAUACCGCAUACGUCCUGAGGGAGAAAGUGGGGGAUCUUCGGACCUCACGCUAUCAGAUGAGCCUAGGUCGGAUUAGCUAGUUGGUGGGGUAAAGGCCUACCAAGGCGACGAUCCGUAACUGGUCUGAGAGGAUGUUCAGUCACACUGGAACUGAGACACGGUCCAGACUCCUACGGGAGGCAGCAGUGGGGAAUAUUGGACAAUGGGCGAAAGCCUGAUCCAGCCAUGCCGCGUGUGUGAAGAAGGUCUUCGGAUUAUAAAGCACUUUAAGUUGGGAGGAAGGGCAGUAAGUUAAUACCUUGCUGUUUUGACGUUACCAACAGAAUAAGCACCGGCUAACUUCGUG